GGCCCGGUCAGAGGGAACCCAGACACGAGGGAGGACGUACGCCUUUCUCCCCCUCUCUCUCUUUCCCGUAUUCCUCGUGGGUGUCCAGAAAUAAAAAAAAUACAUAUACCAUAACAAACAAACGAAAGAGGAAGAGUAGUAUUCCCCCAGCCAAGGAAGAACACCCGCAGACAUGGAUCCCGAAGCCUUCUUAGAGAUGGCCAACCAGGUCACCAAGUUAAAGAUGUUUCCCUACUUCGACAUCGCCCACUGUGCCCUCUGCUGCCUCUACGUCAGGGAGGACCUCGGCACCGGUGGACUACCCUUCUCCCGGAAACAUCCCCUGGCUAACUGGCUGUCGAGCAUGAUCACCAUCUUUGCUGGUGGUCUCCUCACUAACUUCCUCCUUGGCGAACCCAUCCUCGGUGCUAUCAAGAACAAUCAACAGCUCCUCCUCGCUACUGCUGUAUGGUACGUUAUCUUCUACUCUCCCUUCGACGUUGGUUAUAAGGUCGCGAAAUUCCUUCCGAUCAAGGUUCUCCUGGCUGCCAUGAAAGAAGUUUAUAGGGUGAAGAAGAUUAAUGACGGAGUGACUCACGCGGCAAAGGUCUUCCCCAAUGGCUACUUGACCAUGAUUCUCAUCGGCACCAUCAAGGGCAACGGUUCUGGCUUCAUGAAGGUCAUGGAACGCUUGAUGAGAGGAGUCUGGACACCUGGGGCCGUCGAAGUUAUGCAGCCUACCUUCCCCACGAAAGCUUCCAUUGCGGCUGCAUUUAUCUUCGUGCUGGAUAAGAAGACCGACCUUAUCUCCGCACCCCAUGCUCUUGUCUACUUCGGCAUCUGCAUCUUCUUUGUUUACUUCAAGCUCUCGUCACUGCUGCUGGGCAUCCACGACCCCUUCCUGCCCUUCGAGAAUCUGUUCUGCGCCAUCUUCCUUGGGGGCAUCUGGGACUCCCUGGCCCAGACCCUUGCUGGCAAGAAGGGUGCCGCAGCCGAGAAGAGUGGAGAGGCUGUCAAAAAUGGUAACGGCAAGAACAAAAAGGACUGAGGCAGCAGUGGUGUUUUUUAUUUUUUUCAUGUGUGACUAACAUGAUAGUAGGGGAGGAUGGACUUUUUUGCUAACCUCCCUGGUACGACUCGCACCUCGACCAAAAUCAGUGAAAUACAUUUGUAUUCUCAGCACUUUUUUACCAACUUUUAUGGCAGUGAACACAUUGAUACACACAAAACAGUUCUGUGUUUACAACCCAUUCUAUAUAUCUUUUCUCUUAUUCUUUUGGACAAUUUUAUGACAAGUAAUUGAUAAUACACAAGGCCAAACAUAAAGUUGGCCUACAGUGGUCUUUCUAUGUGAUGAUUUCAUAUGAAUGGUGUGCUUAAACUUGAUGAAAUGGAGGAAAUUGGUUAAAGAUACAGUGAAACGAAUUUAGUCUAUUCAAUUUCACAUUUGUUAUUAUUAUGAUUAUUAUUGUUAUAAUGAUUAUGGUUGAUUUUAUAAUGUCUGGAAAGUGGAAAGUAUAAGUGGUCAGAUUUCACCCACUUAUUUUUAAUUUUUUGUUUGUUAUAAUAUGUAAUGUUUGUAUACAUAGUAGCUGAACUGUUUCCUCAUUACUUGUACAAUGGAACAGGUAUAGAAUGUACAAACAACCAACCAUCUACGUGGUAUCGAAUAGUACUUUUUGUGACAAGGGAAAUCUUCAGUAUUAUUUAGUACUUAUACUCGGUAAUGGAACACAAUGAAUUGUUUCUUUCUUCCAGUUAUUUUGUCUGCAAUGAUAAACUAAUCAUGGGAUGGGGACUAGCUUCUUAAAGUAUCUCAUCCCAGGGAUCUUGAUAAGAUAGUUUUAUGUUUUAAUUAUUUUAUUGAUGUUAUCUUAAUUAUUGUUAUUACUAUUAUUAUCACCAUGAUUAUUUUUUUUUGGUUAUUGAUAUUAAUUUGUUCUUGUUUCUUAGUUAGUCAUUUCUCUUGAAUGUUUCUUAGUAUCCAUUGUCUGCAGACCCCUACUAGUCAUGUUUAUGUGUUUCUUAGCAGAGGGUUUUGCCACGUUCCCAUCACACCUUUCAACAGUCGACCCUCCAGUCCAUAUACCUGCUUCUCCACCCCCCUCUGCCCCUUUUUUUCGUACAGGAUUCGGUAUGGGGACUGUGUGCAUUAUUCUCUGCUUUUCAUAGUAUUUUGUUGGUGAAGCAUAACCCAUUUUUUUUUUCUGGUCUUUUUAGUAAUCACUAAUAGUAUCUGAUUGGCUUAGUUAAAGGAUAAAAAAAGGAAAGAAGUUUGGAAAGGACACAGAGACACACUCAUAGAAGAUAUCUAGGAAAUUCAUGAGAGACCAGACAAAGUGCAGUAGUUUCUCAUGGUCUAUAUGUAUGUAAAAAUAAAAACAGAACUCUAGCAGCAAGACCUUAAAAUGUAUUCAAACACAUACAUGGUGUUAGUCAGCUGCUUUUUACGUCCACUCCACACCUCCUUUUCCCCCCAACCCCCACCACCCCUCCACUCACCCAUGCAAUGGUCUGGCAUGCUGCAGCCACACAAAAGACAAACGAAAGAUAAUACUCGGCUGGGCGUGCUAGUCUGCAUCCUUUUUUUUUUUUUUUUUUUUUUUUUUGUCUUUGAUGAUGCCAUAAUGUCAGAAAUCACAGAAAAUUGUUAAAUUUUUACAGAAAAUAAAAAUGUGAGACCCUC